GGGCACGUCGGAUGCUUACACAUGCAGUCGAUUCAAGUUACCUUCGGGUAAUGAGGAUGGCGGACGGGUGAGUAACGCGUAAGGAACUUGCCUCUUGGACUGGGACAACUGUUGGAAACGACAGCUAAUACCGGAUAUUAUGAGAUUCUCGCAUGAGAAACUUAUGAAAGCUAUAUGCGCCAAGAGAGAGCCUUGCGUUCCAUUAGCUAGUUGGUGGGGUAACGGCCCACCAAGGCGACGAUGGAUAGCCGGCCUGAGAGGGUGAACGGCCACAAGGGGACUGAGACACGGCCCUUACUCCUACGGGAGGCAGCAGUGGGGAAUAUUGGACAAUGGACCAAAAGUCUGAUCCAGCAAUUCUGUGUGCACGAUGAAGGUCUUCGGAUUGUAAAGUGCUUUCAGUUGGGAAGAAGCAAGUGACGGUACCAACAGAAGAAGCGACGGCUAAAUACGUGCCAGCAGCCGCGGUAAUACGUAUGUCGCAAGCGUUAUCCGGAUUUAUUGGGCGUAAAGCGCGUCUAGGCGGAAAAAUAAGUCUGAUGUUAAAAUGCGGGGCUCAACUCCGUAUUGCGUUGGAAACUGUUUUUCUAGAGUACUGGAGAGGUGGGCGGAACUACAAGUGUAGAGGUGAAAUUCGUAGAUAUUUGUAGGAAUGCCGAUGGAGAAGUCAGCUCACUGGACAGAUACUGACGCUGAAGCGCGAAAGCGUGGGGAGCAAACAGGAUUAGAUACCCUGGUAGUCCACGCCGUAAACGAUGAUCACUAGGUGUUGGGGGUCGAACCUCAGCGCCCAAGCUAACGCGAUAAGUGAUCCGCCUGGGGAGUACGCACGCAAGUGUGAAACUCAAAGGAAUUGACGGGGACCCGCACAAGCGGUGGAGCAUGUGGUUUAUUUCGACGCAACGCGAGAACCUUACCAGCGUUUGACAUCCUAAGAAGUUCCAGAGAUGGGAUUCG
rnacentral:rRNA from 1 species